rnacentral:rRNA from 1 species
AUGGUGUCUUCGGGUGCCUUCUUGUUUCCGGGCCUCUGUCAAUUUCUCUGCCUCUUCUUGGGUUUCUUCUGCAGCCUACCAUUACUAGGCAUCUGCGAUGAAUCAGAGAGUGACAGGCAAGCCCUCCUCUGCUUCAAGUCCGGGCUCUUGGCACCCGCCGGAGUUCUAGCUUCAUGGAGCAACGCGUCCAUGGGAUUCUGUGACUGGCAUGGGAUCACCUGCAGCGCGACACCACCCAGGCGUGUUGUUGCGCUGGACCUUGAAUCCGAAGGCAUCUCGGGCUCCAUAGCAUCUUGCAUCGCCAACCUCACUUGGCUGGCAAGGCUCCAGCUGUCCAACAACAGCUUCAGUGGCGGCCUACCACCGGAGCUUGGCCUCCUGAGCCGGCUCACCAACCUCAACCUUAGCAUCAACGCUUUGGAAGGUAACAUCCCGCCUGAGCUCUCUGAGUGUUCCCAGCUCCAAAUCCUGGGCUUGUGGAAUAAUUCCUUCCGUGGAGAGAUCCCACCUACCCUUAGCCAAUGCAAGCACCUUCAAGAGAUUGACCUUAGCAACAACAAGCUCCAAGGAAGCAUCCCUCCUGCUUUCGGAGACCUUCCUGCGCUGCGCAUACUAGUUCUCGCCAAAAACAUGCUUACCGGCACCAUACCACCGUCUUUGGGCAGUAGCUGUCAUCUCACAUACGUCGAUCUCGGGAUCAAUGGUCUCGGAGGGGUAAUCCCGGAGUCCUUGGCAAAUAGCUCAUCCCUUCAAGUACUUAGGCUUAUGAGCAAUAGUCUUACUGGUGAACUCCCAAAGGAUCUUCUCAACACUUUGUCACUUGGUACCAUUAGCCUCGAAGAGAACAGUUUUGUUGGUUCAAUACCCUCUGUUACUGUCACAUCUUCCCCUAUUAAGCAUCUUGAUUUAGCGAAUAACAAUCUUUCAGGAAGAAUACCUUCCUCAGUAGGGAACCUUUCCUCCUUAGUUUAUCUUCGUCUUACAAACAACCAUUUAGUUGGGAGCAUCCCGGAGAGCUUAGGUUAUAUUCCAACACUAGAGACAUUGACCUUGCAUAUAAACAACUUAUCUGGGCCGGUUCCACCAUGUAUCUUCAACAUGUCAUCUCUGAGAAGUCUCGCCAUAGCAAAUAACACACUUGUCGGAAGAUUACCCUUCGACAUUGGCUACACACUCCCCAAUAUCCAGAACCUACUACUCUCAGAAAAUAGUUUUGAUGGACCAAUCCCAGCCUCUCUUCUCAAAGCUUACCACCUACGCUGGCUUUACCUGAAUGGUAAUAGCUUUACUGGAUCCAUACCAUUUUUCGGCUCAUUGCCAAAUUUGGAGGAACUCGAUUUGGGACACAACAAGCUAGAAGCAGAUGACUGGGGCUUUGUCUCUUCACUAUCUAAUUGCUCCAGACUGAGCAUGCUGGCCCUGGAUGGGAACAAUCUCAAAGGGAAAUUGCCAAGUUCUAUUGGCAACCUUUCGAACAGUCUCGAGUGUCUGUACCUAAGUAGUAACCAAAUUUCUGGACCUAUACCACCAGAGAUUGGAAAUCUUAAGAGCCUCAAUAGCUUGUACAUGAAUUACAAUCUUCUCACCGGUAAUAUACCGCCAACAAUUGGGAAACUGCAGAACUUGAUCUUACUAUCCUUUGCGCAAAACAGGCUUUCAGGUCAGAUUCCAGAUACUUUUGGCAAUUUUGUUCAGCUGAGUAUGCUGGAAAUGGAUCAUAACAACUUUAGUGGAAGAAUACCUGCAAGUAUAGCACAGUGCACUCAACUCACCACACUCAACCUUGCUCACAACUCACUAGAUGGGCAUAUACCAAGAGAAAUCUUCAAACUCUCUACGCUUUCUGAAGAGUUGGACUUGUCAGACAACAACUUGUCUGGAGGAAUGCCAGAUGAAGUUGGCAAUCUCGUUCAUCUGCAGAAAAUCAACAUGUCAAAUAACAGGUUGUCUGGUAACAUCCCAUCAACUCUCAGCCAGUGUGUUGUUCUGGAGUAUCUUGGGAUGCAAAGCAACUUGUUUGCAGGAAGCAUUCCACAAUCAUUUGCCAACUUAGUCAGCAUAAAACAGAUGGAUGUUUCUAGGAACAAUUUGUCUGGAAAAAUUCCAGAGUUCCUCAAAUCCAUGAAAUCACUGCAAGACCUCAAUUUAUCCUUCAACCAUUUUGAUGGAGCAGUUCCAACAGGCGGUGUUUUUGACAUCGCUGGUGCAGUGUCAAUCGAAGGAAAUUAUCAUCUGUGUACAAGCAUUCCAACAAGAGGGGUGUCUCUUUGUUCAGCAGUGGUUGACAAGAAAAGAAAGCAGAAGCUACUGAUUCUAGUUCUACUGCCAACUGUUGUUGCCACUGCAAUCCUUUUCUCAUUUAUUGCAACAAUUUGUUUGAGGAAAAGGAUGAAAACCAAUCCCCAUUUGCAACAUGACAAUGAGCAGAUAAAGAUAGAGAAGAUAUCAUAUGAAAAGGUAUCAUAUAAAGACUUGGUAAGGGCAACUGAUAGAUUUUCUUCAGCAAACUUAAUUGGUUCUGGAUCAUUUGGAAGGGUUUAUAAGGGCAGUCUGCAGUUUCAAGAAGAUCAAGUUGCCAUCAAGAUUUUUGAUCUUGACAUUAAUGGGGCACAUCGGAGCUUCAUAGCAGAGUGUGAAGCCCUAAGAAAUGUUCGCCACCGGAAUCUUGUAAAAAUAAUUACCUUAUGCUCUUCAGUGGAUCAUACUGGGGCGGAUUUCAAGGCCCUAGUGUUCCCAUACAUGCCAAAUGGGAACCUAGAAAUGUGGCUACAUCUAAAAGACCCUGAAAAUGGUGAAAGGAGUAUUCUGACUUUAAGCCAAAGGACUAACAUAGCCUUGGAUGUAGCACUUGCUUUGGAUUAUCUUCACAACCAAUGUGCACCUCCAGUUAUACAUUGCGACUUGAAGCCAACCAAUAUUCUUUUGGGUCUUGACAUGGUUGCAUACGUCAUUGACUUUGGCCUAGCAAGAUUCUUGUUCAGGACAGAGAAUGCACAUCAAGAUAGUUCAGCAACUUUGAGCCGCUUAAAAGGAACCAUAGGAAUACAUCCCACCAGAGUAUGGAAUGAGCGAAGAGAUAUCAACCAAGGGUGA